UACGGAGGGGGUUAGCGUUGUUCGGAAUGACUGGGCGUAAAGCGCGCGUAGGCGGAUCAGGGGGUUGGGGGUGAAAUCCCGGGGCUCAACCCCGGAAUGGCCUUCAAAACUCCUGGUCUUGAGUUCGAGAGAGGUGAGUGGAAUUCCGAGUGUAGAGGUGAAAUUCGUAGAUAUUCGGAGGAACACCAGUGGCGAAGGCGGCUCACUGGCUCGACACUGACGCUGAGGUGCGAAAGCGUGGGGAGCAAACAGG
rnacentral:rRNA from 1 species